CCUACGGGUGGCUGCAGUGGGGAAUAUUGCACAAUGGGCGCAAGCCUGAUGCAGCCAUGCCGCGUGUGUGAAGAAGGCCUUCGGGUUGUAAAGCACUUUCAGCGGGGAGGAAGGCGGUGAGGUUAAUAACCUCAUCGAUUGACGUUACCCGCAGAAGAAGCACCGGCUAACUCCGUGCCAGCAGCCGCGGUAAUACGGAGGGUGCAAGCGUUAAUCGGAAUUACUGGGCGUAAAGCGCACGCAGGCGGUCUGUCAAGUCGGAUGUGAAAUCCCCGGGCUCAACCUGGGAACUGCAUUCGAAACUGGCAGGCUAGAGUCUUGUAGGGGGGGGUAGAAUUCCAGGUGUAGCGGUGAAAUGCGUAGAGAUCUGGAGGAAUACCGGUGGCGAAGGCGGCCCCCUGGACAAAGACUGACGCUCAGGUGCGAAAGCGUGGGGAGCAAACAGGAUUAGAUACCCGUGUAGUC
rnacentral:rRNA from 1 species